rnacentral:rRNA from 1 species
AAUGAACGCUAGCGGCAGGCUUAAUACAUGCAAGUCGAGGGACAGCACAGGUAGCAAUACUGGGUGGUAACCGGCAAACGGGUGCGGAACACGUACACAACCUUCCUUUAAGUGGGGGAUAGCCCAGAGAAAUUUGGAUUAAUACCCCGUAAUAUAGUUGAAUGGCAUCAUUUGAUUAUUAUAGCUACGGCGCUUAAUGAUGGGUGUGCGGCUGAUUAGAUAGUUGGCGGGGUAACGGCCCACCAAGUCUACGAUCAGUAGCUGAUGUGAGAGCAUGAUCAGCAACACGGGCACUGAGACACGGGCCCGACUCCUACGGGAGGCAGCAGUAAGGAAUAUUGGUCAAUGGACGCAAGUCUGAACCAGCCAUGCCGCGUGAAGGAUUAAGGUCCUCUGGAUUGUAAACUUCUUUUAUUUGGGACGAAAAAGGGCCUUUCUAGGUCAACUGACGGUACCAGAUGAAUAAGCACCGGCUAACUCCGUGCCAGCAGCCGCAGUAAUAC